rnacentral:rRNA from 1 species
UACGUAGGGUGCGAGCGUUAAUCGGAAUUACUGGGCGUAAAGCGUGCGCAGGCGGCGCGUUAAGACAGGUGUGAAAGCCCCGAGCUUAACUUGGGAAUUGCGCUUGUGACUGGCGUGCUGGAGUGUGGCAGAGGGAGGUGGAAUUCCACGUGUAGCAGUGAAAUGCGUAGAGAUGUGGAGGAACACCGAUGGCGAAGGCAGCCCUCCUGGGCCAGCACUGACGCUCAUGCACGAAGCGUGGGAGCAACAGG